ACUUGCUGAGGGUCAAAGUGAUUACUGUGUUUGAGGUUCAAAACUGUUUUUUCCUCAGAUCAGAGAGCAAGGACCUGGAUUCUUUUUGCCAUCCUCUACAGUAGUGUGUUGCUGAUUGCCUGCUGGUAUCAUGGAGGCACAGCUCACCCAAGCCCUUCUCUGCCAUUGAUGAGCCAUCAGACAACAGCAGGAUCGGUCUAUCCCAUCCCGACUUUUGACUGAGACCCUAUAGUCUUGAGACAACCAAGAUAUGUUGCCUAACCAAGUCGUCAGACCCAGUACUCGGAUGAAAUCUGAUGGUCUGUGAUUGCCAAGCCAGGACUCAGACAUCACUACCAGAAACAUGCUCCGAUUGUGCCAGGCCCACAGGGAGAAAUGGUCCAUCAUCUGAGGACUUCACAAUUGAAAUGGCCAAGACAGAUGGACACCUGGGGUGCAGAAGGACUGACCACCAUGCUUGCACCUCUCAUCUGGACCACUCGAGUGUCCUCCUUGCCCCUGACUGUGGUUUCCGCUGCCUGCCACAUUGUAGUGAAGCGUGACAUGAACAAUUAUCUCUUGCUUCACAAGCAAGCACCAAGAAGCUGGAGGAGUCCUCUCCCUCCCCUGACCCACCCUGUAGUACUGUCCUCUUCAGGUCAGGUCCUUCUCCAUGGGAGCUCCAUCCCAGCAUGAGCAUGGUGCAACUUAUUCAGCUUUCAAAAUGAUUUGCAGGUCACAGUUUUUACUGUUUGACCCCUGAGUUGCAGCCUUUCGCCAUUGUGUAUACAUACUGUUCUUUUGCCAAGCAAACGGCAGUUUUUCUUUGCUGAAGGGAUAAAGGCAAAAAUUUACUCCCAGAGAGAAAGGGGAACUUUUCUUGUCCUUUUUUUGCCCCUUUUUGUAGUGCUGGCACCAAGCCAACUCACUGUGUUUUACUUUCUUUCCUCUGUAUGUGUGAAUUUUUUUUUUUUUUUUUGCACAGCUCCAAAGGAAAAGGAUUUCUCAGUCUUAACAUCCUGUUCACUUCUGCAUACUUUUGAAUGCUCAUUAUUAAAAGCUAGCUAUUUAUACACAGGAACAAAGUACAUUCCACUAACCCCUUGUGGCAUAACUCUGCAUGCUGACUGCUAAUCUCUGGAAAGGUGAAUUGAAUGUAUGACAGAGAGCUUUUUAUAGGGAUUGAAUACCCACUGUACAUCAACACAGUAAUACCCUUUUAAAAUUCUCUUUGCUAUCAUGUCUUUGGAAAUAUGAAAGGAAAACCUUUCAACAACCUCAUUCCCUCUGACUCUAAUCUUGAUUGUGUUGAGAGGGAUAGGUGCCAGAUAACUGUAUUGGUGGAAACAAAGAUAAGAAGGCUGUGCAUACCAUAAACAGUUAUAUUGCUUGAAUUAUGUUCUUGGACAGAUGCAGUGACAAUACCAGGACAGCAUUAAUAGGGUGAGCGGUUAAUUUACCUGCCUGGUAUCUUUCAAAAAGAUCAAGUUGCAUUUCAUUACUGGAAAAUUCCUAAUGACCUAAAAUGAAUCAAGAACAAGUGCAUUAUCUCAAAAUCACCCGUCUGACAAUACAACACAGUGGGCAACUCACAAGGAGACGUUAAUUUAAGUGAUGUCUUUGUGCAUCUCACAAAAGGGACUGGGGUUGAAAACAAGAUGUCAAAGCAAUCUCUCAGCUGAAGAAUAGAAGGAUCCUUCAGAGAGGAUUUGAAUGUUUUGGGUCCAUCUACUCUUGGAAUAUCUUUAAGACAAAAGAUUGGUGCCCAAGGUGCAAUUCAACAUUUUUGCUUUGAUUUUCACCUUUUUUAUAUUCCCAUCAAAGGAUACAUGAUGCCCCCUCCGAUUCACAGCUGGUACAUUGGUUUCGAACCCAACUGAAUCACGCUUUUAAUCUUGAUGGAAGCUUCUUCCACCUGCCUACCCCAAAAAUGCUUUAGUGUAUGCACAGCUGUGACUGCAGUUCCACCUGGCAUUCACCCACCUGAGUGUUUGCUCUGAGCCUUAAGAAACAAAAAAAUCUACCCACACAACAGUGUCUCCACAGAGCAUCAUGCCCCAGGUCUCCAGGAGGGGAUUCUGGUGAUACCAUGUCAUGACUUGCACCAGUAUAUUGUGGGAAUGGAGCAGGCACAGCACUUCAUUCGAAGUCCCAGCCUUUCAAGAGGACAGAGGCUGUGAUGCCAUCCCACCUCAUUUGUAGAGACUCUGAUAAAUGCAUCGCCCAGUUUUCAUAGGUCCUCAUUCUUGUACUGUGCUGGUACAAACUGUUUCAGAAAGCCUUGGCAAAAGAGAGCAGAAAAAGUAGCCCUUCUUAACCCAGUUUACUUGACAGUUUCCAUAACAACUUGACACAGCUAUUUAUAUAGCAGGAGAAUAUAAUUUGCGUUUCAUCAUUUUUAGAACCUUUGUUGCCAUAUCAACCUCAGCGCCAUGUAGCAGAGCACAGCCCCAUUCAAUUCUCUCUUGUUUGCUCAGAAAGAAACUUCUCUCUCAAAUUGAAAUUCAGUUGGUCUCAGAAGGACCCUUGAGAGGCCUGUGUGUCACUUUUAAAGUAUCAUUUGAGUCCUAAUUCAAAUGGGCUUGUGCCUAUGUGACCUAUCUGCACCAGACGGAUGCUACCAUCUGCACUGGGAAGCGAAGAUGAGGACAGGAUGGACAAGCAGACCAGCAGAUUGCUUAUCUUGCUUGGGAAGCAAAUAAUCAGAGGGACUUGGCAGAUGCUGACUUUCUCUGUGAUGGGUGGGGAGGGAAAAACUAAUUUUGAAAUAUCAGGGUUUCAAAGGCUUGGUGCUAGCAUUCCUGAGUCAGCAUUUUAGGAGGGAGAUUGGGUGUCAAGGAGUUCCAGCAAAGAGCAAGGUUAGGAUGCAGUGAAAGUAAGGAUGGGUAGAAAAGCGGCAGAAGACAGCUGCCAAGAAAGAGACUGCAUUCCCAGAGGAGAAGGAGAGGAACCUUCCUGGUGUGAGCUCAGGUGCUGCUCAGUCCUGUAUUCAUUCCCCGCAAUGCUAAGCACCAAAAGGCAGCUCAGAAGGAGGCAGACCUCCCCAAAGCACAGCUCAGGUGGGGAUUAGGUGUCUCCCAAUACCUCUCUUUGAAGGAAGCCAUGGUGAUUAGGCACUUCAGUUAAGUCCUUACAGCCAGGGGAAACGAAUUGAGGCCUCAGGUUCUCACCAAGGUUUUAUUUGCAGUUCCUGCUGGCUGGUCCAGCAAGUGCUUAUCACUCGCAUAGCUACGGUCUGUCUGGGGAAGUUCCCUCCCGGGUCAGAAUAGAAUUAAUUUUAAAAUAUACAAUGUGCAAUCACAAGUAUCUAUAAUCCACCUGAAACCUUCGGCUGACUAAAAGCAUUCAAAUAAUCCUUUGGCUGUCCUGCACUUUGUCACUCACACUUCCUCCUCCUGUCGGGAGAUGGCAGGUCUGUUGUCCAUGCCCUGACACCCCACUGUCUCAACCUGCUGUGGUUGCUACUUUGCCAAGACACACCUGUUCAAAAUAGGUGUCCCCCAUCUCCCCUCCUCCUGAGAUCUGAAGGUGUCUAUGUAGUCCCUGGAGCAGGCAUCCAUUUGGCACAGCAAACUUCAUACAAAGAAGGUGACCAAUCGCCAUAGUGCCAGUGAUUUAGCCUGCCUUCCACCAGCAGAAAUGAACACAACAGCAUUUCUAAGAAGCAGUGUCAGCUCCUGGUUUGCAUUAGUCGUACUGUUCUGUCUUGUCUUAAUCGUCUCAGUAUUUCUACAGGGUCUCCAGUGAGACUGAAAAGCAUGUUAGCAGCUCCAGCACGGCUGGGUUUAGCUAUCUGUGUCAGCAGAUGAGAACCUCUGCCUCAGGGAUGAGUUUUGUCAUGUAGCAGUGCUGAAUACAGACUCCGCUGGCUUUAUUAAUAGCAGCCCUAUUAUUUUAACAUGAUGUUCUACCAACCCCUUGGACUGGGGACAAUAGGAAAUGGCACUUACAUGUUUAAAUCUGCGGCACACUGAACUGUUUGAAUCUGUAUGAUUCAUUGUCAGACAGUACUAUGUCAGGCACUGCAGGCAAAAUAAAAAAGACGGCAUAUGCAUGAUCUAUAUCUGUUCUACACGUAAGCUGUAUGAAAUGCAUCCUGCCCAACUUCUGCUUGCAGAAGCCAUAAAUGAACUCCAUGUAUCCUUUAAAGCAUUCUUGGUAAGAUCUUGGGAAGUGCCAACCUGGUGCUUUUAACCAUAAGCCCAGAUGGUGCUAGGAGCUCUCUAUUGUCUUGUCUGCAGGCGCUUGGAGGAUGUCUGGCCAGCUACUGGAAGGAAACAGCUUUAGGUAUGUUCUGGAAGAGGUCAUGUGAUUCCUAAACCCAUGAGUUAUCACCCACACUUCAUCAAAAAACAGAAAGUUUUGGAGUUUUGGGGUGGGUUUUCUUCAUACUGACAAGUACUAGUUUAGCCCUGAGAAAUAUGGGAAGAUUUGUGCCCUGGUUUUAGCUGGGAUAGAGUUAAUUUUCUUUCUAGUAGCUAGUAUAGUGUUAUGUUUUGGAUUUAGUAUGAGAAUAAUGUUGAUAACACACUGAUGUUUUCAGUUGUUGCUAAGUAAUGUUUAGUCUAAAGUCAAGGACUUUUCAGCUUCUGAUGCCCAGCCAGCAAGAAGGCUGGAGGGGCACAAGAAGUUAGGAGGGGACACAGCCAGGGCAGCUGACCCGAACUGUCCAAAGGAAUAUUCCAUACCAUGUGACAUCAUGCCCAGUAUAUAAACUGGGAGGAGUUGGUUUGGGGGGGGGCGGAUUGCUGCUUGGGAACUAACUGGGCAUCAGUGGGCAAGUGGUGAGCAAUUGCAUUGUGCAUCACUUGUUUUGUAUAUUCCAAUUCUAUUACUAUUAUUAUUAUCAUUGUUGUUAUUAUUAUUAU